UCGGACUGUGGUCUGCAACUCGACCACACGAAGCUGGAAUCGCUAGUAAUCGCGAAUCAGCAUGUCGCGGUGAAUACGUUCCCGGGUCUUGUACACACCGCCCGUCACACCAUGGGAGUCAGCAACGCCCGAAGUCAGUGACCUAACCGAAAGGAAGGAGCUGCCGAAGGCGGGGCAGGUAACUGGGGUGAAGUCGUAACAAGGUAUC
rnacentral:rRNA from 1 species